GGAAGGAUCAUUAAAAGAAGCAGGUCUUCGGACCUGACCUUCCCACCACUGCGUACGAAAUUAGUUGCCUCGGCCGCCCUCGAGCGGCCGAAGGAACCCCAAGACAACGUGUUUGAAUACCGUCUACACCUCGCGAAUGCGAAAAAGUACAACUUUCAACAAUGGAUCUCUUGGCUCCGGCAUCGAUGAAGAACGCAGCGAAAUGCGAUAGCUAGUGUGAAUUGCAGAUUUCAGUGAAUCAUCGAGUCUUUGAACGCACAUUGCGCCCCUUGGUAUUCCUAGGGGCAUGCCUAUUCGAGCGUCGUCCCCCUCUCUCAAGCGCAAGCUUGGUGUUGGGGCCUGCCCCUGAAAAACGGCGGCAGCCCUUGAAAACAUCGGCGGGCCCAGUGCUCUGGGGGGCUUUGAAGCCCGCCGUCAAGCCCUUCGUGGGCACCACCACAACCAGGUCGACCUCGAAUUAGGUAGGGAUACCCGCUGAACUUAAGCAUAUCAAUAAGCGGAGGAAAAGAAACCAACAGGGAUUGCCUUAGUAACGGCGAGUGAAGCGGCAACAGCUCAAAUUUGAAAUCUGGUCCUUUCAGGGCCCGAGUUGUAAUUUGUAGAGGAAGCUUCGGCAUCGUCGCCGCCCAAAGUUCCUUGGAACGGGACGUCAUAGAGGGUGAGAGCCCCGUGUCUGGGUGGAUGACUUCGCCAUGUGAAGCCCCUUCGACGAGUCGAGUUGUUUGGGAAUGCAGCUCAAAAUGGGAGGUAAAUUUCUUCCAAAGCUAAAUACCGGCUGGAGACCGAUAGUGCACAAGUAGAGUGAUCGAAAGAUGAAAAGCACUUUGGAAAGAGAGUCAAACAGCGCGUGAAAUUGUUGAAAGGGAAGCGCUUGCGGUCAGACUUGGACGCCGUUGCUCUGGGGGGCUCUUGCCCUUCCUGUUCUUCGGCGACCAGGCCAGCAUCGGCUCGGGCGGCUGGAUAAAGGCUGCGGGAACGUGGCUCUCUUCGGGGAGUGUUAUAGCCCGCGGUGGAAUGCAGCCUGCCUGGGUCGAGGUCUGCGCAUCUGCUAGGAUGCUGGCGUAAUGGCCUUAAGCGGCCCGUCUUGAAACACGGACCAAGGAGUCUAACAUUCGUGCGAGUGUUCGGGCGUGAAAACCCGUACGCGUAAUGAAAGUGAACGGAGGUGGGAACCCUUUCGGGCGCACCAUCGACCGAUCCUGACGUCUUCAGAUGGAUUUGAGUAAGAGCACGGCUGUUGGGACCCGAAAGAUGGUGAACUAUGCCUAAGCAGGGCGAAGCCAGAGGAAACUCUGGUGGAGGCUCGCAGCGGUUCUGACGUGCAAAUCGAUCGUCAAAUUUGGGUAUAGGGGCGAAAGACUAAUCGAACCAUCUAGUAGCUGGUUCCUGC
rnacentral:misc_RNA from 1 species